GAAAGAUAAGGUUGGGGCUUUAGCCAGGGCAAGAGGGAAGCAGGUGGUGAGCGAGGGUACUCCUGUAGCGACACCGGCGCCUGGUGGGUCGGAAAAAGAACCUGAUGAUGAAGCUGAGGAAUUUUUGAGGAUCAUCAAGAAGUCAGAGUAUAAGCUUGUUGACCAUCUGCAGCAAACGCCGUCCAAGAUUUCAAUCCUGUCAUUG
rnacentral:lncRNA from 1 species